rnacentral:tRNA from 1 species
GGAGGCGGGUAGGCGCCUGGUGGCCCUCACGGUCUUCAACACCGAUGUGGCCGGGAACCCCGGUCAGGCGGGUUCGAUUCCCGUACGCCUCCGC